UUUCGGAGAGUUUGAUCCUGGCUCAGGACGAACGCUGGCGGCGUGCCUAAUACAUGCAAGUCGAGCGAAUCUGAGGGAGCUUGCUCCCAACGAUUAGCGGCGGACGGGUGAGUAACACGUGGGCAACCUGCCCCUAAGAUUGGGAUAACUCCGGGAAACCGGUGCUAAUACCGAAUAGUUUCUCUUCUCACAUGAGGAGAGAAGGAAAGUUGGCUUAGGCUAACACUUAGGGAUGGGCCCGCGGCGCAUUAGCUAGUUGGUGAGGUAACGGCUCACCAAGGCAACGAUGCGUAGCCGACCUGAGAGGGUGAUCGGCCACACUGGGACUGAGACACG
rnacentral:rRNA from 1 species